rnacentral:rRNA from 1 species
UAAGUAGGUGGAGGAAAAGAAACCUAAUGGGAAUCUCUUAGUAAUGGCGAAUGAAAAGAGAUGUGCUUAGUGUCAAAAUCAGGUUUCCCUGACUUGUAGGCUGUAGGCGCUAUGCCAACUUGGGUGCAGGUGCAAGUCUCUUGGAAUAGAGCACCAGUGAGGGUGAGGGUCCCUUCUGUCAUCUGUCAUCCCUUGUAGACGGUUUGCGUUCUGAGAGUCGUGUUCUUCUGGAAUAGAGCGCCAAGUGGGUGGUACUCUUUGCCUAAGGAGCAUUACAUACUUGAGACCAAUAGUGAACAAGUACCAUGAGGGAAGGAUGAAAAGGACUUUGGAAAGAGGGUUAAGAGGACAUGAAGCUGCUGGAAGGGAAGUGGAUUGGACUUCUGUCUGUGGCAAGAUUGCAGGUUGCACUACUCUCUGAGGAACUGCGACUUGUGUUUCUUGCUACUUAGUGGGAUUCUGUGUGGUGUCCACAAUCUAAGCUUUACUUGGCAAAAACCUGCUGGUUGCUCCAUAGUUUAGCUUUCUGUUGGCACUACAUAAUUCUUCCACUAAAGAGUUCAAUUUUACCCGUCUUGAAACACGGACCAAGGAGUCUAAUGCGUGUGCAAGUGUAAGGGUUUUAAACCUGACAGCAUAACAAACGUGACUGCUGGGAUUCUUGCGCCAGCAACCAACUGAUCACUUAGGAGAUGUUUGUGUAUGAGCAUGCUUGCUAGGACCCGAAAGGUGGUGAACUAUGCCUGAGAAGGGUGACGUCAGGGGAAACUCUGAUGGAAGCUCGUAGCGCUACUGACGUGCAAAUCGUUCGUCUGACUUGGGUAUAGGGGCGAAAGACUAAUCGAACCAUC